rnacentral:rRNA from 1 species
CCUAACGGGCGGCAGCAGUGGGGAAUAUUGGACAAUGGGGGCAACCCUGAUCCAGCCAUGCCGCGUGUGUGAAGAAGGCCCUCGGGUUGUAAAGCACUUUCAGUGAGGAAGAACGCCUGGUGGUUAAUACCCAUCAGGAAAGACAUCACUCACAGAAGAAGCACCGGCUAACUCCGUGCCAGCAGCCGCGGUAAUACGGAGGGUGCGAGCGUUAAUCGGAAUUACUGGGCGUAAAGCGCGCGUAGGUGGCUUGAUAAGCCGGUUGUGAAAGCCCCGGGCUCAACCUGGGAACGGCAUCCGGAACUGUCAAGCUAGAGUGCAGGAGAGGAAGGUAGAAUUCCCGGUGUAGCGGUGAAAUGCGUAGAGAUCGGGAGGAAUACCAGUGGCGAAGGCGGCCUUCUGGACUGACACUGACACUGAGGUGCGAAAGCGUGGGUAGCAAACAGGAUUAGAUACCCGAGUAGUC